ensembl:lncRNA
GCCGGAGUAUUCACAUUCCCUAAACCCAUCCUGUGAUUUCCCACCCAUCUCUCAGACCAGUCCUCAUGUCACGCAGUGAAGUGGGUGCUACCAGUCCCUCCUCCAUCUAAGGGACUGACCAGACCCUGCUAUGGAUUAGAGCUGCUUGCUCCUGUCUGAUUUUCACCCCCCACUGUCCCUGUCAGGGUCCCUGUCCCUUUGCCCCUGUGUCUUCUGUAGUGCUGAGUGCAUAUGGAAAAUGUAUUUUGAAUGAAUGAACGUAAUUUCUAAAGUGCUCCCUACAGGGACUGCCAGGGCCCUCUAUGUCACCUAAGAGGGGGGAUGCCUCAUCUGGCUCCAGUCUCCUCCCGACCCUUUCUCAUGCUUAGGCCUGCAACUCUCAGUCCCUGGUGACUUGAGGGACUCUCCAGGUAUCCCAGGAGGUAUCCCCACCCCUACCUCAGAGAGAGCCACUUCCUUCCAAAGGAAGCGUUGAGCAAGCACUUUCCCUGAAUUAAAUGGGGUUUCAGUGAUGGACAUGCAAUAGAGUUGGAAUCUUUGAUUAUAGAACCUAUGGCCAAUUUCGGGAGUAGGUAAUUGGUCAUUAGUGAAAAACAUUUUCAACCAGUUGUGUUCUGAUUAAUGAAUUGAUGCCUCCCCCCCGUUCAUUGUUUUAUUUCCUUUAAUUUGCUAUUCUAUAGUUUUUAGGACAUGAAUUUGGUUGGCAGCGUAACAGCAAGGAUUCAGGAGGCCAACUGUGUUUGGGUUCGAAUCCUGGCUCUGUCUCGCACUUGCUGUGUGACCUUGUGCCAGUUACUUAACGUCCCUUGUUUAGUAUCCUCAUCUGUAAAAGGAGGAAACCAGUAUCACAUACCUCUUAGGGUUAACGAGAGGAGUAAACGAGUGAUAUUUGCAAAUGCGGAGCACAGUGCCUGGCACAGAGUCCAUUGCUAUUUUUAUUCUUGUUGUUAUUUAGUCUUACAAAUUGCAAUUUGUUUCAUCUGUGCAUGGUUUUAAUCUCUGGAAUUGUCGUACGCUCUGUUCUUUUAUAAAUCAGAGGCCCAGUAGUGUAUUAUCUUCAUUUUACACGCCUGCUUAAAAAGAAUCUAGCUGUCUGAUUCCCAAAGUUGCAAAUCAGACAGCGUGACUACUUUGUGGGCUUAAAAUAGCUGUCAGCCUUGUUGGGAAGGAAUAAAAAGGGGUUAACUAGCUUCUGGUGCAUGCCCCCAUCACAUUUGUUCCAGCCCUUUAAUCCUCGUUAGGAUUAAAAAUCACAGAAUCUUGUUAAGUACAGUAUGUUGUCUGUCUUCCCUGUCGUUCUCUGAAUUUCUUGGAUAAAUAUUUCUUUAAGCAGAGGUAAUCUAAGCAGCAGAAAUCUUCAUCAUGGGAUUAAUUAAUACCUUGCGAUGCUUACUUUCCCUUUUCAAUUUUUAUAUUCAGCAUCUGUUUCCUUUCAAGCACUGGAGCCGCUGGCUUUAAAAGUUACUUAAAAUGGUCCUUCCAGGAAGUUCGAGCCCAAAGUGUUGACACACUGUAGAAGCCUGCUCCUCUAGCUCCUGCGUGUGACCCGGUUGAUUUUCUGUAGCACUUUAACGAGACUUGUGAGUCUUAUACCCUUCUGGUCCAUCCAUGAGAAUGGACGGUGGCUAACCCGUUUAUUCUUGAAGCUACAGUGCUUUCCAGGAGAACUGUUGAAAUGAUCAACCUUGAGAGUUGAAUGAGACCUGGGACUCCCAACGUAGGGGUGGCAAGAAGAGGGCACUUGCCACCCGGUGCACCCUGAGCUGUAUUUGGAACAUUCUGAGCUCCGUUAGCCUGUGCGUGAGCACCUUAGAGAGAAAUGCUAUUUGCACGCUUGCAGAAUUAACAUGUGUCCCGUAUCUGUGCUGCUCUUCCUGCUCGUCCUGGGUGUGCAUUUCUUGUCCCUGAUCUAGGCUACAAGCUUCUCAAGGGCCAAGGGGACUCCCCACGUACCUGCCUCGUGCCAUCCACAUCACAGAAAGCUAACAGAAUAAUCGCUAUUAUUUAAAAAGCACUUACUAUGUUCCAGGCACUAUGCCAGGCUCUUUCUCUUGACGAUUAGUCCUCCCAACAGCCGUGUGAAUUAAGGAAGAUUAAUGUCUCCCAUAGGCCAAGUGACAGGUCAAGAAUUUUGCAGCAUCCUCAAGUGAGGGAAAUCACUGGCCAAAUUCCUUUGAUUGGAUAAUGCAGCUGUUCUCAAACUUUGCCAUCUAUCAGAAUCACCUGGAAACUAAUAAAAAUACAGAAACCCAGGCUUGUUGAAGUCGCAUAGGGCCUGGAUCUCUGUCUUUGCUGUGUUUUCCGGGUAAGAAUAAUGGAGUUGGAGCACUGGCUGGCAAACUUGGCUACUCAUUGGAAUCACUCGGGAGUUAAAAAAAAUUACCGAUGGCUGGGUACUCUCAGCGAUUUUAAUUCAGUUAGUAUGGGGUGCAGCCUGCAUGUUACAAUUUUUAUAUCUUCUGUUUCUUUGCUGAGACUUUGUGUUUUUCUCAUUUGUUUCAAGCAUAUUUGUAAUUGCUUGUUGAAGUAUUUUUAUGAAGGCUGCUUUAAAAUCCUUGUCGGAUGAUUCUAAUUUAUCUGUCAUCUUGGUGUUGACAUCGGUUGAUUGUCUUUUCUCAUUCAUGUGGAGACUUUCCUGGUUCCUGGAAUGAUGACUGGGUUUUGAUUGAAACCUGGAAGUUUUGGGUAUUAUGAGAUUCUGGAUCUUAAUUAAAUUUUCUGUUUUAGGAAGACUCCUCUGCCAGUGCGCUGGUUGGGGAAGGAGAGUGCUACCUCGUGACUGUUGGGUGGUGGGUGGAAGUCCAGGUUAUUUACGGCCUCAGCUGAUACCCCUCUGGGAUGCGGCAGGAGUGCCUCAUUACUAUUCCUCCGUAGCUUCCACUGAUGCUCUGACUUAUCAUUGCUGGGUGAUGGUGAAAGUUCCAGCUUGGCACUAGGCCUCCUCUUGACACCCCAGCAAGGAGGGGAGGAGGCCUUUUCCUCUCCCAGGUUGGGUGGACAUCCCAGUGUCCUGGCUUCCCAUUCAGCCUUCUGUGACACCACCUGGAUGAAGGUAAGGUUGGAACAUCUCUUUUCAACCGGCUGAGAGCAGAAGUCUAGUUUCCUGACUUGGCCAAUAGGGGUGAGGUUUGGGGGCAUGGCUUUUUUCUGCGAUGUUUGGCUGGAGUAGAGCUGUUAUGGUCUAAAAGUUUUCUGUCGUGUGAGGCUGCCUCUUUCUUAGUCCUUUGGCUAGAGAAGGCAGGCUUUCCUUGGACAUUUUUUUGUCUGUGUCUCUUGGUGUUUCUGGGUCUCUGGCUUCUCCAGAAACCAGUCUGGGAUCUGUGAGAAAAAAAGAAAACCUAGGGAACACAGCUCCAUGUCGUUCCUGGCUGGUCUGCCUUCUUCUCUCCGUCUUUCUGAGUCUUCUUAUGCUUGUUUUCUGGAUAAUGCCUGGAGUUUUUUUGUUAGGAGGAACAGGGAAAAGUAUGUCUACUCUGUCUUUCUGGAAAUGGGAGUUCCCUGGAGAUUGGGAGUUUUAAAAGCUCCCCAGGUGAUUCAAAUCAAAUCAAGGUGCAGAAUAUGAGAAUCUCAGGGUUGGAGCACUGGAGCAGGCAAAGGUGGUUCUGGUGGAAGGACCAAGAGGACCUGGAAUCUUCCCCAAGUGGUGGUCUUUAUGAAAGAUUAUGUACGCCUUCAUAAAUUCUUAUCACUUAGUCACUUUCCUUCCAUAGACUUAGAUUUUUUUUUCUGUAUGUCCCUGAGUCUGACUUGUGUUCCCUGAGUAUACAUUCUUAAAUGCAGGUGUAAAAAUAGUCUAAUUGUAGAGGAAGUAUUUAGUGUGCUCCUACUGUGUUUAGGGCACGGUGCUUGGUGUUAAAGUUCAGAGAGAGAUGAGACAAGAUGGUGACUUGAAGGAGAUCACUGUAGCUGGGAGAUACUGAUAUGUGGAAAGAUAAAUACAAUGAUAGUAUUAUGUAUUGAGCACACGUGUGCUGGGUAUUCUCCUAGGUGUUUUAUAAAUUUUCAUUUAAUUCUUCCAACUACGCUGCAUGAUAGAUGUUAUUUUCUCCCUUUCAUCAUUGUGAUUUCAAAGGCUCAGUAUUAAGUGCCUUGUCCAAGGUCACUCCAUAUCCAAUUCAGGACAAAAUUGGACCUCGACUUCGGCGCUGGAAUGAGGCCUUGCUUUUUCCACCUGGACGUGUCCCACUAAGCUUUCUUCAUGAGUGUGUCAUGGGGGUGCUGCUGAGCUCAUCCAUUUAUAUUUCUCCCUGGACCCAGGACAAUUUUGGAGGCAGCUGUUAUUAGUGGCUUAGUCUGUGACUUUGGAAUGGACCUUGUAGGGACUUGAAAUGAUUCUUGAGACUUAAAAAUAUCACUGUAGUAAUUCUGUGGAGAGUGGGGUGGGGGGCAAUAAUAGACCUGGAGAGACUGUUCGGGAAGCUCAUCCUGUACUUCAGGCAAGGGAGGUUAGUCGCUGGAAUUAGGGCCCGUCUUCCACUCUGGAAGUUGCAAGAGGUAUAAGGCAUCUUUUAGUUUGGAAUGAGCACAUGUGUAAGUAAAGAAGGGAAGUGAGGUAAGCGAAAUGGAGGAAAAGUGUGGUCUUGUGAUGUGAGUGGGGGAGAGGAGGGUUUAUAUGUAGGCUUUUAGUAUUUUUUUUUAAGGGGGAAGGAGAUAAGAGAACUAUAGAUAAUGAAGAAAUGACAGAGAGGUAGGACGACCCGUACCCCAGGAGGCUUUAAAUACCAGGCUCAAGAGACAUGGCUUCAUCUUGCCAAUAGUGGGGAACAAAAAUGCGUGUUCCUAGGGGAUGAUAUAAAUAUAUAUAUUUACAUAAUGUAUAUAUGUGUCUACUCACACACACACAGAGUCGUGUAUUAGGAAGAGGAAAUGGAUAAGAGCUGCUGUAAAAAUAGAAAAGAGCGCUGAGGACUAGUGCUGAAGUCCAGGUGUGAGGACCUGAACCAGGACGACGAUGGCGGGUGUGGAAAUGAAGGGAUGGAUGUAAGAGAAAUUACAAAGACUCGAUACAGCAAUCUGUCUUGUGUUCUUAGGGCCAGGCUGCAUUUGGGAAGGAGAAUCAGAAAUUGAAAGCAUCAGAAUGAAAUAGCCUUUACUUCCAAGGAGCUUGUGUCUUAGUGAGUCAUCGCAUCUCAUGUGACAAAGCUUUAAACACCGCCUGUUCGACGGACACUCUAACAUGUCAACUGCCUGAGCUUGAAAGCUAGUUUAACUUGCCUCAUCUCUGUGUCUGGUCCUAAGCUGUUCAUCAUGGGUUGGGCCCUUAGCUACACUAUGUCCUAAGUCCUAUGUGAAAUUUUGCCUUUUUAGAGCAGCCCUGAUACCUUAUACUAACUCAGAGUUUAGGAAGCAUAUUAUUAGGCUGUCGAUUUUUGGCAGUUUUAAGGUCUGUUUGUCUAAAAUGAUGAGAAUGAAACUGUGUCCAUAUGAGCCCCUCUGUGAAAUGAGAAAAGGGCUGAGUGGGAUGCUGGUAAAGGUUAUGAAAACAUAGACCCUAGAUAAUUGGCAGUCUCAGCAAGCUAGGAUUAGGAGGUCCCUUUCUCCCUCCCAACCUCUUCUUGGAAAUGGAAGUUGCUGAAAUAUGAAAACUUGAGGCAGGGAUUCUAUCAGUGGUGACAAAUCCAUAAUGGGUUUCCGAGGCUAAUUAGAUUGUUUGGGAUAUUAGCAACUUCCUUCGUGUCCUUAGGCUUUCUGUCAAUGCUUACUGCCUAUAUUGUGAUCACUUCUGUCUUCUACAACCCACCCCCAACCCCAGGUGGUACCCUCUGGCUUUUGAGAUCCUGAAACAACACCGCGUCUGAUUGACUUUUGAAUUUCCAGGACAUAGCAUAGUGCCUGACACAUUAUAGGUGCGCCGUUGACCUUGAAUGAAUAAGUGAAUGAAGGAAGUUGAUGUCACUGAGUAUACACUGCUUCUCUACUCAUUACAUUUACCUGGGGGCCUUUGCUAGGAGUGGGAUCCCUUUUCUGCUUCUCUUGCCCAGCCCAAUUGUCAUCCAAGUCGUGUUGGUUGUAUUUCACAAAACUGUUUUGUGGAGAGAAUGUGAUGUUUAAUGACUUUGCCCUCCUAGCCAUUCCCUUGGCAAGAUGAUCAAGAUUUUUAUAGUGUGGGUCUCAUUUUUCUUCUACUGAAGGUGAGCUAGCCUGUGGCCUGAAGCUGGCUUUGUAGUUGUGCGAUUCACCUAUGGUGAAUAUGUCAACGUCAUACUCAUUUGAUGAGGCUUAGCUCAUCAAAUACUAGUUUCUGCCCCUGUCUUCCAACUUUCUCGGGGUUCUUCUUCCUUCAAUUGCUGUAGCAUCAUUUGGUUUGUAAUCUUAGCAUUAACUGUGUACUUGUUUUAGCAUAGGCCCCAUAACAGGUGGUUGAACUGUCUUUUUUGCAGUGCUGGCAGAGGGCCUAGCCAUAGUAGCUGCUCAGUAAGCACGUGUGGGGUUCAUGGAAUUCAGCAAGGGUUUGGUUUGUGAGGGUGAGGCUGACAUUCUCAGUGUCCUGUGAAUGUCAGGUGCCUCAUGACAGUGAUGCCUUUUAGUGAUUCCUUAUUUCCUCUUUCCAGCAGUAGCUUGCAGUUGUUUUUCAUUAAAAAUAUGUCUGAAGCACACACUUGAGGCUGCUGACUCACCUCUUCUACAGGAGAAGCCUUGAUGCAUUGGAUCUGCCAUGUGGGAGAUGCAGUCACUCCUCUCACCUCCCCACGGCAGUGUACUCUUUUCUUCAUGAUGGUCUGUUUACUCAUCACUCAGCAGGGAGGCCCGGGUCUGAGAGACUAGAAUGUGGCAUGGAAGAGUUCUGACUGGUUGCAGGGCCAGUCCUACACUGGAUCAACAGCCUUGAACAAGUCACUUUCAUCUCUUUGUCCUUCAGUCCCCUCAUCUGUAAAAUAAGGGGGUUGACUUAGAACCUGUAUCUUAGAGGAUCUCUGAGGUCCCUUCCACUCCAACACUCUAAUUGUACUUUAGUUGUAGUCUUCUCAUGUCUUCUGCAGACCAUGCCCCUUUCCCCAGUGAAGUCACAUUCCAAUUACUUAAUGCCCACAUCCUGGUUGACAGAUCAGUUAGAGCAAACAGCCAAACGCAGCAAGACUGCACGUGGCGCUCACCAUGCUCCGGGCUGUGGAAGGUGCCCUCUCCCUUGGAGGCGUGGGAGGAGCGGCCUUGUGCUCUUUCUUCCCUUAGCUGUUCAUCGACAUGUUGCUCAAGUGGAACCCAUGUAAACAGAACUUAUUCAUUACUUGUCUCUGUUCUCAAAUAUUUACACCUUUUGCUGCUGUGAAAAAAAUCUUUAAUCUUAGUUACAAUUUUCCCUAUUGCAGCCGAAAGAGGAGAGUUUCGAAAAGCAGUAGAACCCUAUAGGGUCACAUUCUGCAGAAAGGCACAGGAGAAAACAAAAUGCGCUGCAAUCUUGGUUUUGUAGAAAUUCAAGCGGGAAGAGGCCUCCGUGUGCUUGACAGCGCCAGGGGUGUCCAGCAGGCUAGGGCUUUGCCUUAAGGGGCGGCAUUUGUUGCCCACUGUUAAGGGUUAACCCUUAG